rnacentral:rRNA from 1 species
UAGGGAAUCUUCCGCAAUGGACGCAAGUCUGACGGAGCAACGCCGCGUGAGUGAAGAAGGAUUUCGGUUCGUAAAACUCUGUUGUUAGAGAAGAACAGCGCAUAGAGUAACUGUUAUGCGUGUGACGGUAUCUAACCAGAAAGCCACGGCUAACUACGUUCCAGCAGCCGCGGUAAUACGUAGGUGGCAAGCGUUGUCCGGAUUUAUUGGGCGUAAAGCGAGCGCAGGCGGUCAAUUAAGUCUGAUGUGAAAGCCCCCGGCUCAACCGGAGAGGGUCAUUGGAAACUGGUUGACUUGAGUGCAGAAGAGGAGAGUGGAAUUCCAUGUGUAGCGGUGAAAUGCGUAGAUAUAUGGAGGAACACCAGUGGCGAAGGCGACUCUAUGGUCUGUAACUGACGCUGAGGCUCGAAAGCGUGGGUAGCAAACAGG